UUCUAGAGGUGCUAUGUGUGUAUUUAAUUCAAAUGAUUAUAUUCAGCUUCAUACUGAUUUUUAUGAAUAAGUGAUACGUUAAUUCAGUUAUUUAAAACAUUAAUAACACAUUAUUGUUACAUUGCUGCAAUGCUCACGGUUGUCAUCCUGUUCUAGAUAAACACUACUUCACCUAAGAGACUUGAGUAUCCAGUUCUUCGUUGACCUUCAGCAUUCAGUUGUUUGUCUUCACCUUUUCAGGCUAAAACCUGAGAAGCCAUCACCAUGUUGUUGUUUCACAUCAGAGUUUCCUGUGUCCUGCAUCUUCAAGACAGACUAAGCUAACUUUUCAUAUUUUUUGCACAUUUAUAUUUAGGUUAGGUUAGGAGUAGGUUAGGUUUAUAGUAGAGUAUUUAGUUUGUAUAGUUUAGCUUUUUAUGCUGGUCUAGGGACAGUUAAGUUAGCUAAUUAAUUUAGUUCAAAUCACUUACAGUUGCAUAUUAUUGUUACAAUUGUGUUAUUUUGUGAGUUUUUGUUGUACAGGCUAUUGUAUAUUGCAGGACCAAGUGUGACGAGGAAGACCACUGCUUCCAAGAUGCCGUGCUCAGUCACAAGUCUCGACCUUGCAGAUCCUGCCCCACUUAGCCCAACCACUUCCGACCAUGGGGUACCUCAAAGACAUCUGUCAACCAGCCGGCUGUGGAUGAUGGAUAACGCACCCACAACUCCUUCUCCAGUCUACAAGGUUCUGAAAAUACACACACCUCCACAGUCCAAGAACAGCUGGAUGACCUCUGGACCCACUUGCCCCCGUUCACCAGUUGAAAAGAUAGGCUUUUUAAAAAAAUCUUCAAUUGUUAAUUCUGCACAAAGUGAUACACAAAACAUUGUAUGUAUUCCAUUUCAACAAACACAAACAUGAAAUGUAUAUUUAAAUACAUGACUUAAUGCAAAUCAAUCAUACUGAACAUCAUCUUUUUUUAAAAAACCAACCAUUGCACGCACUUCCAUCCAAGGAGAGGUUACAUCAUGAUGGUAACUUUUUAGAUUAACAAAACUUUUGUGAGAUUUGUAAUUGUUGUUUCUGGGGAGGGGGCGGAAAGGGUAAGUCUAAACAUUGCAUGCAAGAGACCAACACCGGUGUCUCAGGGGAAAUCUAUCUGUAUACACAACUAUCAAUCUACUUGGUUGCUUCAAAAUUUUAUGAUAGUUUUGCAAAUCCUGACCCAGAGAGAAGCACAUCAAACAAACAAAAAAGCAAUGGUAGAUUUUCAAGGCCUUUCAAUGACAUUAACAUUAUUUUCAAUGACAUUAAUUUUGCAAUUAACAUUAGUUUUAUCUUCUAAAACAUAACUAUAACGACAUUCAAAUGUAGAUGACCACAAACACAAUAAUAAACUUCAAGUCUCAUUGGAUAAAAUAAAAAAAUAUUGACAGUGCUGAAAUGAUGGAUCCUUAAUAAGCCCACAUUAAUAAUAUAU